rnacentral:rRNA from 1 species
AGAGUUUGAUCAUGGCUCAGGACGAACGCUGGCGGCGUGCUUAACACAUGCAAGUCGAGCGAGACUUUUCCUUCGGGAGAGUGUUCUAGCGGCGAACGGGUGAGUAACACGUGGGCAACCUGCCCCCGGCUCUGGGAUAACUCCAAGAAAUUGGGGCUAAUACCGGAUAUGACCGCUGACCGCAUGGUCUGGUGGUGGAAAGAUUUAUCGGCUGGGGAUGGGCCCGCGGCCUAUCAGCUUGUUGGUGGGGUAGUGGCCUACCAAGGCGACGACGGGUAGCCGGCCUGAGAGGGUGACCGGCCACACUGGGACUGAGACACGGCCCAGACUCCUACGGGAGGCAGCAGUGGGGAAUAUUGCGCAAUGGGCGAAAGCCUGACGCAGCGACGCCGCGUGGGGGAUGACGGCCUUCGGGUUGUAAACCUCUUUCAGCAGGGACGAAGCCGUGAGGUGACGGUACCUGCAGAAGAAGCACCCGGCCAACUACGUGCCAGCAGCCGCGGUA